CUCAGUGGGUUAAGCCGCUGCCUUCGGCUCAGGAUUCACACAAAGGAGGCAGUCCGAGUCCCUUUGACCAAACUAAAAUCAGAGCUCCAGCUUCACACGAACAUCAGUGGCUUUGGCAGCAGGAAGAGCAUCCCUAGACUCUGCGUGAGGAGUCCAGCCGGUACACUUGGUUCCUGGGAUCCAGCUUCACUGGGACAGAAGAGGAAAAUACAUAGAGAAGGCCAUGUGAAAAUGGAGGCAGAGAUUGGAGUCAUGUAGCCAUAAGCCAAGUGAUCCUGGAGCCACCAGAAGCUAGAAGAAACAAGGAAGGAUUCUGUCAGGGGGUUGUCCAGAGGGAGCACCAACACCUUGAUUUUAGACUUCUGAACUUAAGAAAUCAGGAAAUAAAUGUCUGUUA